rnacentral:rRNA from 1 species
CACGUAGGGUGCGAGCGUUUGUCCGGAAUUAUUGGGCGUAAAGAGCUUGUAGGCGGUUCGGUAAGUCCGCUGUGAAAGUCGGGGGCUCAACCCUCGAAAGCCGGUGGAUACUGUCGGACUAGAGUGCGGAAGAGGCGAGUGGAAUUCCUGGUGUAGCGGUGAAAUGCGUAGAUAUCAUUUGGAACGCCAAUGGUGAAAACAGGUAGCUGGGGCUGUGCUGACGCUGAGACACGAAAGCCAGGGGAGCGAACGGG